GUUUUUCAGGAAAAAAGCGGCUGCCAUGGUUGUCAUCGUCUGAACUCAGUAGAAAAGUAGAACUCGAAGAUUUCAAUGGAGAAUCAAUUAUGGACUGAAAGUAUUCGAAGCAAUAGAAGAUGGACUAUCCUCUCUGGUUCUUUUUAAGAAAUCCAGUGAAGAAGAACAGAAACACGCGGAGAAACUGAUGGAAUUUCAUCAGUUUUUUUUUCUGAAAAGGAAAAAGAAUUGCACAACAUAAAAUGACAAUUCAACAAGCAAUGGGCUUCAAUUGAGGUAUUCUGUUGUGCUUUCUAGGAAUCUCAACAUUUCUAUUUUGCUCCGUAAGCCAUUUUAUAUGCAAUUAAGAUCUGUUAGACUUUGUCACAGUUUACUGAAAUGGGGCUACUCAAGUUUUGGUCUGGAUUAGAGAAAACAAGGGAAUAAUUGUGCUGACAAUGGUUGCGGAUUUGUGAAAACGUGUGUAUAUAUGAAUGAUUGAAUGUGAAAAUCAUUGCAGGGAAGGAGAUAUGAAUCAGAAACACAAUUUCUAUAUCAACUGGAAAAUGCACUUAAGUUGUUUGAUAAAAAGCCUCUUUCCAAUCAGAUUACUAUUUCUCUAUCCUUCCUAAGUUAACAAAUAUUGUUUGCUUGAAUUUCAUUUUCUCAUUUGGCCCUUCUCCCGAAUUGUUUCUACAAGCACAGUACUUUGUAACCUCUUUGCUAAACAUGCCUGGGUCAGGUACAUGGCUGCCUAUGCUCAUAGACAAGGUGAAAUGCGUAGAAGGUACGUAGGAGAGUUCUCUUCGUUGGGUGCUGCUUCCAUGCACACCAAUAGUACUUCGGAUAGGUUGGCAGAUACGUUCCAUCUCUCCAAAACGGCUACCAAAUAACACCUACAAAACUUUGUUCACAUAAACCAAAUUGAGGAAGGUAAGGGCCUGGAUUACUCGGGUCGCAUCUCUCAAAAGUGGAGCGAGCUUGAUGUCAUGGAGAUCAAUGAUGUGACAAGCUUGGAUAUGCAUGCCCAACCAGAAUCUGCCUCAGGGUGAUUAACUAGGUUUGGUUGUUCUUCAGAACGUAGUGAUGAAAUUUAUUCCCUCAACAAAUGCAUUGUUGCUGCCGAAAAGAAACUACUGCUCCUGUAAGAAUCAGGUUAUGGAAUUGCCUAGCAUCUCAUUAGAAGAUAUCCAAGGGUAAGAAAAUGUUAAAAGUGAUGAGUGAAUAUUUUUGGGUGAAAAACAGAUAUAGGCCUCUCUUUUUUCAGGAUUACAUCCAUAGGCCCGUUUUUUUGAAUUUUACAAAUAUAGGCCGGUUUUGACCGUUUUAUUGAAAAAACGGCUAACGGUAGUUAUGUGCCUUUUUAUCACCGUUAGGGUAUUGGAAAAAGACCUUUGAGCCCUUAGAAUCAUCAAACUCGCCGUGUUAUAGUUUUGAAUCGCCGAUUCUGCACAGCUACUCGGUGCUGACUGUGUAACCACGUGUACAUUGUACACGUCAUAAAUUCUACCACGUGUCAGAUAAAAAUGUUGCCCCCACAGUACCCAACAACAUGAUUAUCUUCAAUAAAAGCGUAUUUUCUUCUGUCUUUUUUUUAAUUAAGAUCUAAAAAUGGUUGGUGCAAGGAAAAAUCUGGAAAUGCAAUGAAUUUAAGAAAAAUAAUGAACUCAGAACUUGUUCUGCAAAAAAAACUGCAUCCAUUCAAAGUUUUCAAAGUUCCAAACUUAAACUGCACCAAUUCCUUCAAACUUAAACUACACAAAAGAUAAGGAGUAACUGCAUACUCUUCUAAACAAAAUGAAACACAACCAAGAAAACUAAUUCAGAAGAUCCAGCCUUUGUUGUUGCCUUUCCCCUGACACCUUUUUCAGAUCUUGCAGCAGCUUGCUUAGAUGAUUCACCAACGUAGAUACAAGCAUCCUCUGACCACAAUAUGUCAAUGAUUUCAUCACCCUUCAGUCUUAAGUUUGGCCUGAUCAUGUCCUAUGUCAAUGAUUUCAUCACCCUUCAGUCUUAAGUUUGGCCUGAUCAUGUCCUUUAACCUAUCAAGACCCAUAUCUUCUCUUGCACAGUCCCUGAACUCAAAACUCUGACAAGUUCCUAUCACAUUUACCUUAAAACUUCUGAAGGGCAUCCUGUCAUCUUCAACAUCAUUCCUACAAGAGACAUAAAUAAAAUUCAAAUAGACACUAAAAAAAAUACAUGAGAAGAACGCUAAUAAAGCUCAAACCUAAUCAAAUAUCAAAUCAAAGAGAAGAACAGGGCAAUCUGGACACUAGUCUUUCUUAUCAAUAACCAAAAAUGUAAAUCAUUAAAAAGAACAGGGCAAUCUGGAUAAGAGAAGCGAAAAAAUUGAGGAGAGAAAAAAUUAUAGAACUAUUAAUUAUGAUUUGUCAGAUCACAUAGUCUAAAUGUCUCUAUAGUACAUUAGCGCUACUGGCAUUGGUAUGAACAGAGCAACCCAAAAUGUAAAUCAUAGGAGUACAAAAGACUAGCUCUUUAAUUUAAUGUAAAUAUACUUCUAUCAGUUUAAUUACAUAAAAGAACGACCAACAUAAAAGAUGUUUCUUUAUACAAAUAUAGGAGGCCCUUUUUAAAAGUUAAAUGUGAUUUGAUCAAAGUCAUUUUCGUUCUAGAAGGAUAACAGUCUACAGCAAACAUGGAACACCCCAUGAUACUCGUACCUAAUCCUAACUACCCUUCAUGGAACCUGCCACUUUUGAGUCAGUAGUAUCCUGUCCCUGUUCUACAUACUCUACAUUAACCUACGUAGGCUAACUAACGUCGCAUAUACGGGAAGGAAAAGUCCGAAAGACUGCAGCUUAACUAAGCCCAUGAUUAACUAUUUUAGUGCACACUGCACAGCGCCACGGCCUCUGCUGCUGAUAUUAAAUUCCUGUCAGUUUUAAAUUCAAGACAAGUAAGUGAGAGUAUCUAAUGAUUAUCACAGAUAGAUUCGACGAUUAUGGGUAGAAGCAAAUGUACAAAAACACCAAAGUUAAAACAAAAAAAAAAAUGUACAGGAAAAGACGAACAGACCAGAGGAGAAAUGUAACUCAUUAAAGUGCGCAUCUCCCAUAACAAUGACUAAAAUUGACAUAAAUAUGCAUAUGGGAGACUAGCACAAGACAAACUUCACAUCCUUCAGUUUUUUCCCAUUAUAUCAUAAGCUAGUUAGUCGAUGAUAAAGGUCCACACAUGAGCCAAUAUACCAACCUAGGUCUCCAAUUCUAACUGAUACCCACUUGAUUAACUCUAUCGACCUCUAUCAUCUGACUGGAUCAAGUCCACUUGAAACUAAUUUAGAAUCCUGUCUGCAUAUUACCAAUUAAGCAUCUUCUCAUGCUGGUAUUAUAUCAAGCCAUCAGCUUCAUGAACCCAUAUUUUUCAAACCAAAUUUCUAACACACUAGCAUUCACAUAUUUUAAGCAGCCAAUAAGAGGUAAGUAAAGAACACAAAACUACACAAAGAUACGUCAUGCACUGCAAUCAUAGUGGCUUAAGUGAGCACACUCCAGUAGCAGUCAAGGUUAAACACAAUAAGCAGUGAAUACUUAAAAGCUAUUGCAAUCCAUGAAUUAACUUUGAUAACCUUCGAAACUAAAGUUCCCAAAGUUCUGAACAAAAAUCCUAGAUCUAGCAUAUAAAUCAAUCCAAUC